rnacentral:rRNA from 1 species
GACGAACCGUGCGAACGUUGUUCGGAUUCAUUGGGCGUAAAGGGUGCGUAGGCGGCGCGGUAAGUCGGGUGUGAAAUCUCGGGGCUUAACUCCGAAACUGCAUUCGAUACUGCCGUGCUUGAGGACUGGAGAGGAGACUGGAAUUUACGGUGUAGCGGUGAAAUGCGUAGAUAUCGUAAGGAAGACCAGUGGCGAAGGCGGGUCUCUGGACAGUUCCUGACGCUGAGGCACGAAGGUCAGGGGAGCAAACGGG